rnacentral:rRNA from 1 species
CGGAGGAUCCGAGCGUUAUCCGGAUUAUUGGUUAAGGUGCGUAGGCGGCCUAUUAAGUCAGGGUGAAUACGGUGGCUCAACCAUCGCAGUGCCUUUGAUACUGAUGGGCUUGAAUCCAUUUGAAGUGGCGGAAUAAGACAAGUAGCGGUGAAGUGCAUAGAUAUGUCUUAGAACUCCGAUUGCGAAGGCAGCUCACUAAGCUGGUAUUGACGCUGAUGCACGAAAGCGUGGGAUCGAACAGGAUU